UUCUAUUAUAUGGUAAAAUAUUAUCUCGUUGAGCUUAGACCCUUAAUUCGUAUUUCAAUUAAUGAAGCCAUCGUUGAUUAUGAUCAGAGUCACGAAACUGAACUUAUGUGCUCCUGGAAAGUUGAAUAUUGUUAAUCGAUUAUGUCGCUCAAUGCCCUUUCAUUUAUUUUAUUUUAUUAAUCUCUUCAAAACACAGAUCCCUAAUCUUUUGGAUAAAUCUUCAUAAUUGAUCUGCUCACAUCACAUUAUUUUCUUAUUUCUUUUGAUUGGGAAGUUGGAUCGUUACAAGUGGUAUCAGAGCACAAGUUUAUGUAAGUCUGAUCAUAUUAGCUUAAAUCAUUUCCUAAUUUCCCAAGAUUUUACUGUGCUAGAUUUUUCUACAAGUGGAAAUUUGUUUUAUCCCUUAACUCUUGUAUAAUAUUCCACCACGUGAUCCCUUUGUUUCCUUAAAUAUACUCCCUGAUCCACAAACAUUCCUACCAUCAUUUCUCAAUCAUUCUGCAUAAUCUAUUUUUCCAUCUGAGAGAUACUUGAUCGCUAAUUCCAGAAGCUCAGAAAUUUCGACCAGAACAGUAUAUUAAGAAAAUCACAAACAAAGACAACAACAUGCUCACGGAACAAGGUUCACUCUUCUUCCAAAUCUUUAUCUCCAAACGUGUAUUUCUCCCCUAUCACUACAAGAACUGAAAUUAGAGUCUCACACAUAGACCUUGGCAUAAUUUUUGAAACUUCUUCACACAACAAUUUUCGUUUUGUUUUUGACUAAGAAUAAGAAGAAUCUGUACAAAGCAAACAAGGACCCAACUAUGGCAUAACCUGCAUAAUUUCUGAAUCCUACACCAAGAUCCGAUUUUUUUUCAAUUUUUCGAACCCCAUUUGUUUACCCUUGAAAUCGGGUUCUUGGGUCAGCGUUUGUUUUUCCCUUUUUGGGGGUGGGGCUCCGGUUCGAGAGAGAGAAUGGGACGAAGGCGUGACGCCGCCAGACGGCGCGGCGCGGCCGAAGGCCAGGCGCCGCUGGUCGCGGCCGAGAGCAGAGCAGCAGCGGCGACGGCCUCCUAUGAUCGUCUGCCGUCCGAUGUACGCGAGGGAGAGAGAGGGACAAAUGGGAGGAGGAGAGAAACAUGGCUUACGGCCAGAGGUGGUUCCCGGCGAUGACUCGCCGGGAAGAGGGGCGACGGCGUGGCUUCAUGUGGGAGAGAGAGAGGGCGGCGGAUAGAGAGGGGAAGAGAGGGAGCCGAUGAUGAGUGUGAGGAUAGAGAGAGAGAGAACCGAUUCACACCUACAUAUUGUUCUCAUCAAUUGGGCCAUCACCAAACUAAAAGGAAAAUUUGGGCUUGAGGUCCAACAGAAGUUAAACAUUAAAUAGAAUGAAAAAAAUCUUUGUAGUAAUAUAUCACAUAUAAUUUAGCACUGGGCUCAAGAUCUUUGAUCAAACAAAAUAAUAGUAAUGAACUUAAAUACGUAAAAUCUCUUUUCAAAAAAAAAAUAUCACCUUAUUAAUCCAGGCGUGUAUCAAUAAUAUACUAAUUAAAGAUCUUCUACAUUUCUUAUGGGAAAAAUCGAGAUAUCACACCUAUCUUGAGAUACUUUCCUUUUUUAGUGUCCCACUUAGCUAUCUUCAGACAUUUCCUUAUUUGGCAAAAGUUUUAUCCAUUUAUUUCAUAUUUUUAUUUUUUCACCAACACACAAAAUGCUACUUUCUUAAUUCACGUGUCCAAAAAAAAGUCUCAAGAUAGCCGGGACAGAGGAGUACUAUGAUAAAAGUUUGUUUCAAAAACCUCUAGAUUAUCAAAAUUCAGUUGAUCUAUUAUUAGAAUGCAAAGAUCCAUAAAUCAUAUGAACUUUUAUUCAAGAAAUUCUCAAGGAAAAAAAAAAGGAAUUUAAGAAACUUUACAUCUUUUUUAAUUACUUUAAUUUUUAGUUCAAAUUUUACGAUGAGCCAUUAAUAUGUACGUACAAUGUCAAUUAUAAUGAAUAUGUAUCAACCAUUUUUUAAAAUAAAAUUUUAUAUACAAAAAAAAAGAAAAAUAAAAAAAUUUAACAACCCUUUAAAAUGUAGAACUCAAACAAAGAGUCGAGCCUCAUCAAAACUUCAUCUGGGAAAACUGUACGAUGAAUAGAUCUGCCAUUAAUGCAUAGUAAUGUGUGUGUUGGUCAAAUAUAACAUAGAUAUAUUUAUCGAGACAAGAUUAGAUAAAAUCCUCCACUCACGUAAAAUCUCUUGUUUAUUUUGAUGGAUUGAAAUUCUAAUUAUGAUAUCUCAAAAUUUUUGAUUAUUUUAUUAUUUAAGCUAAUUUUGCUUCAUUCUUAUCCUAUUAAAAUAAUGAGAUUGGAGAAAUCUUAACUUUAAAGAUAAAAAUACUCAAUAAUGCAUCUUAUCAAUCAUGUAAAAUAAACGCGUCUUAUAUGUAUUAUCAAUAGCUCAAUAUCAAACAAUAAAAUGUAUAAUAAAGAUGAAGUUAUACAAUACUUCAUUCAUCCAUGAAAGUUUUUUUUUUUUUUCGAGAUGUCCACAAAAAAAACUUGUACCUAUUUGGAUUAUCACCCAUCACUUAUAAAUACUUGAGUUAUCUUUAUUUUUCACUUUUACACCACUUUUAAUAUUAGUACAAUACAUCAUAAUACACUGAAUGUAGACGGAGGGAGUAUAUGGAGAUACAAAAAUUCAACUUACAGCAAACAUUUCCCAUUUGUGUCAGCAUCAAAAACCGCCUUUCCACUAAUAAUUAAUAUUAAUUUGUUGUGUCCCCUCCCCGACCCCGAUAGCUUAAAAAGCCCAAGAAAUUGCUGAUUCCAUUUAGUAUUUGCGAUGAAAGAUCAAGAAAGGGUGGUACCGAUCGCGAACGUGAGCCGGAUCAUGAAGAAAUCCCUCCCUCCUAACGCCAAGAUCUCAAAGGAAGCGAAACAAACAGUGCAGGAAUGCGUGUCGGAGUUCAUAAGCUUCGUGACGGGGGAGGCCUCUGAUAAAUGCCAGAGGGAGAAGAGGAAGACCAUCAAUGGCGAUGAUCUGCUGUGGGCCAUGACAACUCUUGGAUUCCAGAACUAUGUUGACCCCCUUAAGGAUUAUCUCACCACUUACAGAGACACUUCUUCUCCUAUUCAUGAUAAGACCAAGAUUGCUACUGCAAACCCUAGUUUUUUGCAGGGUUUUACCAGUGAUGCUGGAGGAGUCGUUAUCGAAUUCGCCACUUCAUCAUGGUGUUGAGUGGUAAGAAAUUAACAUUAUAUUCAUUCAGAUGAACAAAAAGAAAUUACCUCUUCACUGUGUUUUAAUUGAUGUGAUUUGAUUUAAGUACCUAGGUAAACAAUUCAAUAUGUACGUAUAUCAUUAGCUUGCUCGAUCUCAUGUCCCAUAAUUAUUUACUUAUUAAUAUCGUUGCUUCUUUUUUA